UGCGGGGCCCCGCCCUAGGAUAACGCCCUGCGAGUCCUGCCAGCUCUAGACCGCCGCCUGCGCCAGGGACAGAUAAGGACCGCUUUGAUUUUUUUUUUUCUACCACUGAUUUGAGGAAGGCGUGUAAGGUGUAUAGGGUUUAUAGAGUGCCAAGGCGAUGACUCUCUCACAGUGUAGAGCCAGGGGUUGCAUCCUGUGAAGUUUAGCUGUUAUCCUCUACCUGGCAAGGAAGGUCAAGCAAGAGUCUGAGGCAGGGGGAUCUCAAGUUGGAGACCAAUGUGAGCCACGUGAGUGAGUUCAGAGGAAGACACUCUCCAAAACGAACAGCAAAAAGGAUGGACAAUUGGCAUUCAAGUACAGAGUGGGGUUUUCAGGAGCCAGAGCGCUGCGGUUCUGUGACAGAGCAAGCAUUUUUGACAAGCACCUUUGCACUGCUAGAUCUUUUCAGGGUUUUGAAGUUGGAGGUGGCGGUGGUUUAUCCCAGCAUAAAAAAAUAGGUGCACUUGGCUUUACUGGCAGGAACCUUCUUGCACCAUCACUGUCAAAACUGAUCACAUGCCGGACCCUGAGGGAAGAGUAGGACCCUGAAACCAACAAAAUCAGGAUGACACGGUAAACCAUCUGUUUUAUCCAGCCAUUAAGAAAUAAUAAUGCGACCAAUGAUCCAAGCAAGAGGGGCUGCCAGGCCCACUGUGCCCAGCUCUCCAUCAGUUCGGUAUCUGGGGGGUGAAGGAAGAUUGGUUUUGGCAGCCUGUCUGCCAACACCUGACAUCUGUUACCAGGAGCCCCCAAAUGCUGCUCAUAGCGGCCAGCCUUUUCACCGACGGACAUCCAAAGGACGCCUUCUCAGCCUGGCGUGCUUCUGGGGACCUCACCAUUAUUUGAAGACAUGCAACCACUAAUCCUUUUUCAUGCCUUGCCGUUUAGCCUGUCACUUCAUAGAGGGAAAGAACUCUUUCUGAGGCCAAGUUCACUGCUGUUUGGGAGAAUGGCAAAGGCAUGAAGGGAUCUUAGGAAAGUCACAGUGCUGAGUGGAAUGGCUAACAUCAGUUGUUUCUGCCAACGGGCCUCAGAAACCUCUUCUUCACUCCUCACCUGGCCUCUCCUUUGGGGCAAAUAACAUUUGUGUUUAUGACACUGUC